rnacentral:rRNA from 1 species
UGAAUACGAGAUGCUACGGCGUCGAAGCAGUCUAUGUCAUACUUCCAAGAAAAGCUUGCACUGUCAUAAACAAAUAAUGCCUGUACCAUAACCGACACAGGUGGGUAGGUAGAGUAUACUAAGGGGCGCGAGAUAACUCUCUCUAAGGAACUCGGCAAAAUGACUCCGUAACUUCGGGAGAAGGAGUGCCUUAUUUUUAAGGUUGCAAUAACAAGAUCCAAGCAACUGUUUACCAAAAACACAGGUCUCCGCUAAGUCGUAAGACGAUGUAUGGGGGCUGACGCCUGCCCAGUGCCAGAAGGUUAAAGAAGUUGGUUAGCAUCCGCGAAGCUGAUAACUGAAGCCCUGGUGAACGGCGGCCGUAACUAUAACGGUCCUAAGGUAGCGAAAUUCCUUGUCGGGUAAGUUCCGACCCGCACGAAAGGCGUAAUGAUUUGGAUACUGUCUCGGAGAGGGGCUCGGUGAAAUAGACUUGUCUGUGAAGAUGCGGACUACCUGCACCAGGACAGAAAGACCCUAUGAAGCUUUACUGUAACCUGAAAUUGAAAUUGGACUUUACUUGCGCAGUAUAGGUGGGAGGCGUUGAGAAUAUUCUUGCGGGAUUAUUGGAGCCAUCAGUGAGAUACCACUCUUGUAAUGUUAGAUUUCUAACUUUGUAUCAUUAUCUGGUCAAAGAACAGUUUCAGGCGGGCAGUUUGACUGGGGCGGUCGCCUCCUAAACGGUAACGGAGGCGCACAAAGGUUUCCUCUGAACGGGUAGAAAUCGUAUCUAGAGUGUAAAGGCAUAAGGAAGCUUGACUGUGAGACCUACAAGUCGAGCAGGGACGAAAGUCGGUCUUAGUGAUCUGACGGUGCUGAGUGGAAAGGCCGUCACUCAACGGAUAAAAGUUACUCUAAGGAUAACAGGCUGAUCUCCCCCAAGAGUUCACAUCGACGGGGAGGUUUGGCACCUCGAUGUCGGCUCAUCGCAUCCUGGGGCGGUAGUACGUCCCAAGGGUUGGGCUGUUCGCCCAUGAAAGCGGUACGCGAGCUGGGUUCAGAACGUCGUGAGACAGUUCGGUCCAUAUCCGGUGUAGGCGUUAGAAUAUUGAGAGGAGCCUUCUUUAGUACGAGAGGACCGAGAAGGACAUACCUCUGGUGUACCAGUUAUCGUGCCAACGGUAAACGCUGGGUAGCUAUGUGUGGAGUGGAUAACCGCUGAAAGCAUCUAAGUGGGAAGCCCACCUCAAGAUAAGUAUUCUCAU